rnacentral:rRNA from 1 species
GAUGAACGCUGGCGGCGUGCCUAAUACAUGCAAGUCGAGCGAACGGACGAGAAGCUUGCUUCUCUGAUGUUAGCGGCGGACGGGUGAGUAACACGUGGAUAACCUACCUAUAAGACUGGGAUAACUUCGGGAAACCGUAGCUAAUACCGGAUAAUAUUUUGAACCGCAUGGUUCAAAAGUGAAAGACGGUCUUGCUGUCACUUAUAGAUGGAUCCGCGCUGCAUUAGCUAGUUGGUAAGGUAACGGCUUACCAAGGCAACGAUGCAUAGCCGACCUGAGAGGGUGAUCGGCCACACUGGAACUGAGACACGGUCCAGACUCCGACGGGAGGCAGCAGUAGGGAAUCUUCCGAAAUGGGCGAAAGCCUGACGGAGCAACGCCGCGUGAGUGAUGAAGGGCUUCGGAUCGUAAAACUCUGUUAUUAGGGAAGAACAUAUGUGUAAGUAACUGUGCACAUCUUGACGGUACCUAAUCAGAAAGCCACGGCUACCUACGU